CCUACGGGGGGCAGCAGUGGGGAAUAUUGGACAAUGGGCGAAAGCCUGAUCCAGCAAUGCCGCGUGAGUGAUGAAGGCCCUCGGGUUGUAAAGCUCUGUCGGGAGGGACGCGGUACCUCCAAAGGAAGCACCGGCUAACUCUGUGCCAGCAGCCGCGGUAAUACAGAGGGUGCAAGCGUUGUUCGGAAUUACUGGGCGUAAAGCGCGUGUAGGCUGCGGUGUAAGUCAGGUGUGAAAGCCCUCAGCUUAACUGAGGAAGUGCACUUGAUACUGCAUCGCUAGAGUGUCGGAGGGGGUGGCGGAAUUCCCGGUGUAGAGGUGAAAUUCGUAGAUAUCGGGAGGAACACCUGUGGCGAAGGCGGCCACCUGGACACACUGACGCUGAGACGCGAAAGCGUGGGUAGCAAACAGGAUUAGAUACCCUGGUAGUC
rnacentral:rRNA from 1 species